rnacentral:rRNA from 1 species
GUCUAUGGCCAUAUCACCCUGAAUACGCCCAAUCUCGUCUGAUCUCAGAAGCUAAGCAGGGUCGGGCCUGGUUAGUACUUGGGUGGGAGAUAGGCUAUUUCUCAAAUAUAAAUAGAAGUGACGGGGACA